AGGGAAUUAUGCUUAAUUGUCCGGUAUUUUCCCGUUUUCGCUAAUAGUGCUUAAUUUGACCGGAAAUUCUAAUUUUAAUUAAUUUGAAUAUUUUGAGCUAAUUAUUUGCAUUAUUAUUUUCAGGGAAAAUUUUGGAAAUUCAAUUUGGGACAUUUGGAAUGCUAUCAAAUAAUUCAAGACUCUUGUCAUAGACAUUUCAAAUUUAAUUAUUUUGAAACUUAGUAGUCUAGAUAGUUUUUAAUUAAAUUUUGUAAACAUUGGGCCAAUUUUUAGCAAAAUAGUUUGAGCCCAUUUAGGAAACAUGAUAUGGCACCUAGGGUUUUGCAAAGGGGUGGACCCC
rnacentral:lncRNA from 1 species